UUGGGCAUAAGGUGCUGCCUGUCACCCGUGGGCCUGUCUGGGCAUCUCAGCCAGGUGCUGCCCUCUACCCUCUAGGGCCUGGCUUGUCUUCCUUUGUGCAGCACCAGGAUGACAGUGCCUCCAGUCAGCACUUUGGGUGCCUGAAUUGGAUGACUACCCGGAAAGCUGGCUUGGCUAGAGAUGCCAAAGGCGGGGGCUCUCCGCUGCUCCCACCAGCUCCUCACACCCACACUUUUGGGACCUCUCCUUGCACCGAGGCCAGAUUGAAGCUCCAUGAAGACAGACAACAUGCUUGUCUCCCUCACUGCCAGAUCCUUGAGUCUAACAAAGUGCUUAACAUGUACCACUUCUGUGAAAGCAGGUGGAAGGAACAUCCUUCUGCAUUCCACAAAAGAGAAAACAGAGGCCUAUGGAGGGAAAUGAAUCACCCAGGUUCAAAGGUGGAGUCAGCGACCAAACUGUGAAUGGAGCUCCAUUCUCUGACUCUGAAACCACAGCCCCUACCAUGGGCAGUUGCCCCCUUCCUCAAGAGGAAGCUCUCAGCUCAUGUUUGGAGAUACAGCCUUUGUACAUGACAGGUGCCCCUGGGAUUAGACAGUGGGACUCUCUGCCUUCAGUCUUCCCACUCCAAUCCAUGAAACUAUUGUUUUGACCUUCAAAUACAGAUUUCACCGUACAGCCCUUUAAAGGAACUUUCUAAAGCUCUUUCUAAAGCAAAACAUAUGAUCCUGCAAGUUUGGAAACACAAAAGCUCCUAAUGAAUAGGAACAAAGAAAACUGUACGAGCCGAGUCUGAGUCCUCGUUUAUUCCUUGCAUUCUCACUUCCCCUCUGGUGUCCUCUUAUUUCAGUUCUCACUCCCACUCUUCACCCAGCCCUGGGGGGUUUAUCAUUUGCCCGUUCCUUCCAGCCCAAGCCCAGACAAAAUCCAAGUUACUCUCUUUGCUUCAUUUACUUUGAUUGAGACCAGUGGGAAUUUUCAGCUUUACUAAAAAUCUUAUACACAUCCUUGUUCAAGAACUUACAGUGUCUUUCUAGAGUCUAUGUAUCAAGUACAGACUGCUAUAUGGCUUUUAAGACCUUUUAUAAUCUUACUUCACCCAACCGAUCUGUACUUGGUUUUCACUGCUCUUCAAUGUAUACUCUUCAAUAAAUUAUCCCUA